GACGUAGGAUGCAAGCGUUGUCCGGAUUUAUUGGGCGUAAAGAGUUCGUAGGCGGUUCGUUAAGUCUGAUGUUAAAGAUCGGGGCUCAACCCUGGGAGUGCAUUGGAUACUGGCGAACUGGAGUGCGGUAGAGGCUAGUGGAAUUCCCAGUGUAGCGGUGAAAUGCGUAGAUAUUGGGAAGAACACCAGUGGCGUAGGCGACUAGCUGGGCCGUAACUGACGCUGAGGAACGAAAGCCAGGGGAGCGAAUGGG
rnacentral:rRNA from 1 species